UACGAGAUUUCUGCCGAAGGUUUCCGCGUCCUCGGGGCGCGGAUGAAAAGGGAAUACGGAACGGGAUCCAUCCCCAGGCCGUAGCUGCCCCCGCAACUGUGAACGGUGAGGUGCAUUCACGAAGCCACUGGGCAAUGCCCGGGAAGGCGAAUGCGCCGACGAGCCGUGAGCCAGGAGACCUGCCUUCGACGUCACCUUCCG
rnacentral:ncRNA from 1 species